GCGCCUUUGGCCAAGAGGUAAGGCGUGGUCUUCCGGUCUUGUGGUCUUAUCACCACGUACCGAUUCUGGCCAAGAUCGUCGGUUCGAUCCCGGCAGGGCGCU